rnacentral:rRNA from 1 species
CAAUAGCGUAUAUUUAAGUUGUUGCAGUUAAAAAGCUCGUAGUUGGAUUUCGGUUAAGUGCGACCGGUCCGCCGUUUGGUGUGCACUGGUUGGUUUUAACUUCCUGUAGAGGACGUGCUCUGGGUUUAACGACCUGGACUCGGAGUCUACGUGGUUACUUUGAAAAAAUUAGAGUGUUCAAAGCGGGCUUACGCUUGAAUAUUUCAGCAUGGAAUAACACUAUAGGACUCCUGUCCUAUUUCGUUGGUCUCGGGACGGGAGUAAUGAUUAAGAGGAACAGUUGGGGGCAUUCGUAUUUCAUUGUCAGAGGUGAAAUUCUUGGAUUUAUGAAAGACGAACUUCUGCGAAAGCAUUUGCCAAGGAUGUUUUCAUUAA